UACAGAGGGUGCGAGCGUUAAUCGGAAUUACUGGGCGUAAAGGGCGCGUAGGCGGAUAUUUAAGUUAAGAGUGAAAUCCCUGGGCUUAACCUAGGAAUGGCUACUAAGACUGGGUAUCUGGAGUAUUGUAGAGGGUAGUGGAAUUUUCCGGUGUAGCGGUGAAAUGCGUAGAGAUCGGAAGGAACACCAGUGGCGAAGGCGGCUACCUGGACAAGUACUGACGCUGAGGCGCGAAAGCGUGGGGAGCAAACAGG
rnacentral:rRNA from 1 species